UACGAAGGGGGCUAGCGUUGCUCGGAAUCACUGGGCGUAAAGGGUGCGUAGGCGGGUCUUUAAGUCAUGGGUGAAAUCCUGGAGCUCAACUCCAGAACUGCCUUUGAUACUGAAGAUCUUGAGUUCGGGAGAGGUGAGUGGAACUGCGAGUGUAGAGGUGAAAUUCGUAGAUAUUCGCAAGAACACCAGUGGCGAAGGCGGCUCACUGGCCCGAUACUGACGCUGAGGCACGAAAGCGUGGGGAGCGAACAGG
rnacentral:rRNA from 1 species